UCCCACACUGCCGGUCUCGGACAGUGGAAUGCAGGCAGCACCAACAACUGGCAUGCCAGGGCUGAAUGCCGGGAAAAGCACAGAGGCUGCUGUUCACAAAUCUGUGCGGAAGCGCUACAUCGCAGCCGUGGUGAUGUUCCCAACUGCGGUGCUGGCCUGUGGUGCUGUGAUAUGGAUGUGCAAAAAAUACCUAGUGUGCAAGAGAGAAGAGACAACAGCAGAACAAGCUCAUCCUGAGACCAAGUAGAGAGAGUUCCAACUGGAGAUGAGGGCCGAAUGGAGCUGGGUGAGGCAACAGAAGAGACUCUCGCC